CCCUCUAGUACGGUGUGUGGUGCAAGGACGCACCAGACAGAACCUGGUGGGCUUGUAAUGACCCAGGGAUGGGGUUGUGAAGUACUCUUUCAGCCAGCUACGCAUUGGAGUGGACUUCGUGUCCCACAUCGAAAACGGGAAGGAAAUAUUUUAGCCAUAUAUGUGGGAGCUUUCCUCACCUGGUUAGCGCACUUUUGGGAAUGAAACAUUCCAAGGGACAAAUCCGUGAGGCCAUUGGGCCAAAGCGGACAAUACUAACCGAAAAGAUUAAAUUUAAUUGUGAUAUAGUGCAAACGUUUGCCAUUUUUUUCUCCAUUCUUCAAAAAAAUAUUAAAAAUGCAACAUUAUUAGAGUUAAAGCUUAUAUGUUA
rnacentral:misc_RNA from 1 species